rnacentral:lncRNA from 1 species
ACAGAGUCCUCUGUGAGGUCGCCACUGAGCUGAUGGACUCACGCUCAGACAGACCCUGGCAAACGGUUCUCAGAUUGAAUAGCUCUUUAUUUCACCCGAAGUAAGAAAGCUAGAGUGGGGUUUGUUGGGGUGCUCCUGGGGCCCUUUGGGGCUUCUGGCUCUGGGUGUUGUUUCAUGGGCUUCUAAAGAGGUCUUCUGAGGUCUUCAUGACCUCAGAUGUCACAGAACCAACUUCUACUCCCUGACCAAACUCUGCCAUCUCCACCAUGACCUCCAGGUUGGUCUCUUCCACCCUCUUGGGCACCAUGUCCCCGUCGCCACCAUGCAGUGAGGCUGCCCCCUUCAUGCCGAGCUUGGCCCUGAUGUUCCUCAGGAAAGAGCUGAACAAGCUCCUCCUGAAUUUGUUUGAGCUCCUGGACUCCUUCUCAAGAGGGGUGUGGCUGAUGCCUUUGGGGCUGUGGCCCUGGCUGCUGCUCUUGGCUCUGAGGUGGCCACCUUCUUCAUUUUUAUUGACUCUGUGUGUCCUGUGGCCCAAUAAGGACCGGCUGGACGACUUCUGAGCCAUCUUGUCCCCCUCUGUCUUGUGGCGACCUUCGUGUGUCCUGCGGUGGUAGGAACUCCUACUGAGGGGUCUGUCCUCACUCCUCUCCUUCCUUUCCCUGUGCUUUUUGCGGGAGGCCUUGCUGGCCUGGGGGGCGCCCUGCUGUCUGGCCUCUGCACCCCCAGGGCCUGCCAUGGGGCUUUUGCUUCCUCCUACCCCUAUAAAGGUGGCCUCGGCCAGGGCUGUGUUCACCUGGCCAGAAUCCACACUUGCCAUACCUGAAGCCACUGCCGCCUCUCUUUUUGUCCCUCGUGCUGACGCUUCGGCAGACCCCGCAGAUCUUAUUUCUGGGGUGCAUACUCUGGGAAUGGCGGUGGAUGUACGAGAGCUGGGCUGGUCUCCCUCCCCACUGGAAUAAGCAGCAGAGGUGUCCCCGGUCAGCUCGGGGUCCGAGUGGACACUCCGGAUGCUGACCUGGUCCCAGGCGUCUCUGCCUUUGUCGUCCGAGGUGUCCCCGGUCAGCUCGGGGUCCGAGUGGACACUCCGGAUGCUGACCUGGUCCCAGGCGUCUCUGCCUUUGUCGUCCGAGGUGGCCCCGGUCAGCUCGGGGUCCGAGUGGACACUCCGGAUGCUGACCUGGUCCCAGGCGUCUCUGCCUUUGUCGUCCGAGGUGUCCCCGGUCAGCUCGGGGUCCGAGUGGACACUCCGGAUGCUGACCUGGUCCCAGGCGUCUCUGCCGUGGGCGUCCGAGGCGGCCAGGCUGGCCCUGUCAGCGUUGGCCAGCUCAAGCAGGCAGGGAAUGUCCUCGGCCGGGGUGGCGUAGGUGCCGCUGAUACUUUCAAAGGGCGACUGCAGGAGGUGAAUGAGGCUCUCCCAGUAGGUGAAGAGGUCUUCGCACGCAUCCAGGGGGGGACACAGCUGCAGGUACAAAGAGCAGCCCGUGGUGAACUUCAGGCGAAGCUGCUUCUUCUCACUGUCGUGAACGGAGAUCUUAACAAACUUCAAGGGGAGGAGCCUGGUGAGCUCCAGGGGCUCCUUGCGUGUUUUCCUCUUGGGGGCCUGGCUGUGGCACUGUUCACAGCUGGUGGCCUCCCGGGCCAGGAGCAUGACGUCAGGGAUCGGGAUCGGGAUCGGGAGGUAGGAGCUGGUGCAGGCCACGCCCACGGUCAUCAAGUCCAUGUGGUUGUGCACAUCUAUGAGCUCCCCGCGCUUGGUAAUCUGGAUGAAGUCGCUCUCGAACAUCGGGGCAGACCUGAACAUGUAGUACUUGCCCUUGCGCAGCUGCUGCUGCAGCUUCCCCAUGCUGGUGCCGAAGAUGCUGGCCGCAGAGCCGCCCUUGACUGCAUAGCAGGGUAA